GGAGGACCGAACCGACUCCCGUUGAAAUGGUAGCGGAUGAACUGUGGGUAGCGGAGAAAUUCCAAUCGAACCCGGAGAUAGCUGGUUGUCUCCGAAAUAGCUUUAGGGCUAGCCUUGAAAUAGAUUACCGGAGGUAAAGCACUGAAUUGGCUAGGGGCCGAGAGGUUACUGAACCUUAUCAAACUAAGAAUGCCGGAUAAUCGUUUUUCAGGAGUCAGACAGUGGGAGAUAAGUUUCAUUGUCAAAAGGGAAACAGCCCAGACCCACAGCUAAGGUCCCCAAGUAUAGUUAAGUGGAAAAGGAUGUGGAAUUGCACAGACAACCAGGAUGUUGGCUUAGAAGCAGCCACUCAUUAAAAGAGUGCGUAAUAGCUCACUGGUCGAGUGACUCUGCGCCGAAAAAUUUAACGGGGCUAAACUAUACACCGAAGCUUGGGAUACAUCUAAUGUAUGGUAGGAGAGCGUUCUGUAUGGGGAGAAGUCGUAGCGAAAGCGGCGGUGGACUAUACAGAAGUGAGAAUGCCGGAAUAAGUAGCGAGAAUUAAG
rnacentral:rRNA from 1 species